rnacentral:rRNA from 1 species
CCUACGGGGCGCACCAGUGGGGAAUAUUGCACAAUGGGCGCAAGCCUGAUGCAGCGACGCCGCGUGAGGGAUGACGGCCUUCGGGUUGUAAACCUCUGUUAGCAGGGAAGAAGAGAAAUUGACGGUACCUGCAGAGAAAGCGCCGGCUAACUACGUGCCAGCAGCCGCGGUAAUACGUAGGGCGCGAGCGUUGUCCGGAAUUAUUGGGCGUAAAGAGCUUGUAGGCGGUUUGUCGCGUCUGCUGUGAAAGGCCGGAGCUUAACUCCGUGUAUUGCAGUGGGUACGGGCAGACUAGAGUGCAGUAGGGGAGACUGGAAUUCCUGGUGUAGCGGUGGAAUGCGCAGAUAUCAGGAGGAACACCGAUGGCGAAGGCAGGUCUCUGGGCUGUAACUGACGCUGAGAAGCGAAAGCAUGGGGAGCGAACAGGAUUAGAUACCCGUGUAGUC